UCCCUGGAAAUCCAGUGGUUAAGGCUCUGUACUUCCAAUGCAGAGGACUUAGGUUUGAUCCCUAGUUGGGGAA
rnacentral:tRNA from 1 species